rnacentral:ribozyme from 1 species
AGAGGUCACAAGUUUUAGGCCAUAGCAGCAGCAGUCAUGGUGUGGUCUGUCAGAUUCCAAUGAAUCUGUGAAUUCUGCU